CUGCAAAUGAGACAGAUCGACCUGUGACCAGGCUGAUCCUGAAGUAAUUAUACCCAAUCCAAUCAUUUGAAGACCUACCGGUCCAAUUUAAAAGUUGGACCUAGUCUACAUUUCAGCUUGAGACUAGUUAUGUUUUUCAACCCAAUCCAUCCCCUGGAUCAUCCGGGUCCAGUAUGGGUCAAUAUAAUAUAAAUACGACUAGACACCAAUCCAACCCGUCGGGUUUUGGUUAUACAGCAAAAUAUAAUUUUCAAUUUUUCUUUAAUAUGCUAUUAACUCUUAAAAAUAAACAAUUAAAAAUCUAAUCCCACAUAGAUCUUAUUGAUGUCAAUCAAACACAAUAUAAGUAAUAACCAAAUAAGUAUAUCUCUAAGUAGAUGAUAGUCUAAUUACGAUCUCCACUAGACAUCCAAGUAGAUACCCUCCACAUAGAAACCGAUCACGGAUCUUUUCAAUCUUUUGUUAUGUUGAAAAUUCUUCACAAAAAUUCAGCACUCCCUCCUUUUCAAGCACGAAGCACACCACAAUUUGAGAGCUUUCUACCCUUCACAAUGAACAUGCCUAAAAAUCUUUUAAAGUCUUCUCUCAAAAGACUAGUACACCCUCUUUUC
rnacentral:lncRNA from 1 species